rnacentral:rRNA from 1 species
UACGGAGGGGGCUAGCGUUGUUCGGAAUGACUGGGCGUAAAGCGCGCGUAGGCGGGCUGGAAAGUCAGGGGUGAAAUCCCGGGGCUCAACCCUGGAAUUGCCUUUGAGACUCCCAGCCUUGAGUUCGAGAGAGGUGAGUGGAAUUCCGAGUGUAGAGGUGAAAUUCGUAGAUAUUCGCAAGAACACCAGUGGCGAAGGCGGCUCACUGGCCCGAUACUGACGCUGAGGCACGAAAGCGUGGGGAGCAAACAGG